rnacentral:rRNA from 1 species
GGCAGCACGGGAAGCUUGCUUCCUGGUGGCGAGCGGCGGACGGGUGAGUAAUGCAUAGAAAUCUGCCCGGUAGUGGGGGAUAACCUGGGGAAACCCAGGCUAAUACCGCAUACGUCCUACGGGAGAAAGCAGGGGAUCUUCGGACCUUGCGCUAUCGGAUGAGUCUAUGUCGGAUUAGCUUGUUGGUGAGGUAAUGGCUCACCAAGGCGACGAUCCGUAGCUGGUCUGAGAGGAUGAUCAGCCACAUCGGGACUGAGACACGGCCCGAACUCCUACGGGAGGCAGCAGUGGGGAAUAUUGGACAAUGGGCGAAAGCCUGAUCCAGCCAUGCCGCGUGUGUGAAGAAGGCCUUCGGGUUGUAAAGCACUUUCAGUGGGGAAGAAAGCCUUGGGGCUAAUACCCUCGAGGAAGGACAUCACCCACAGAAGAAGCACCGGCUAACUCCGUGCCAGCAGCCGCGGUAAUACGGAGGGUGCGAGCGUUAAUCGGAAUUACUGGGCGUAAAGCGCGCGUAGGCGGUCUGAUAAGCCGGUUGUGAAAGCCCCGGGCUCAACCUGGGAACGGCAUCCGGAACUGUCAGGCUAGAGUGCAGGAGAGGAAGGUAGAAUUCCCGGUGUAGCGGUGAAAUGCGUAGAGAUCGGGAGGAAUACCAGUGGCGAAGGCGGCCUUCUGGACUGACACUGACGCUGAGGUGCGAAAGCGUGGGUAGCAAACAGGAUUAGAUACCCUGGUAGUCCACGCCGUAAACGAUGUCGACUAGCCGUUGGGCUCCUUGAGAGCUUUGUGGCGCAGUUAACGCGAUAAGUCGACCGCCUGGGGAGUACGGCCGCAAGGUUAAAACUCAAAUGAAUUGACGGGGGCCCGCACAAGCGGUGGAGCAUGUGGUUUAAUUCGAUGCAACGCGAAGAACCUUACCUACCCUUGACAUCGUGCGAACUUU